GACGUAGGGGGCCAGCGUUGUUCGGAAUUACUGGGUGUAAAGGGUUCGUAGGCGGUGUGGCAAGUCAGGAGUGAAAUCUCUGGGCUCAACCCAGAGGCUGCUUCCGAAACUGCGGUGCUUGAGUGUGGGAGAGGCGCGUGGAAUUGCAGGUGUAGCGGUGAAAUGCGUAGAUAUCUGCAGGAACACCCGUGGCGAAGGCGGCAUCCUGGACCGGCAUUGACGCUGAGGCGCGAAAGCUAGGGUAGCAAACGGG
rnacentral:rRNA from 1 species